AACGGAAAUUUUAUUACAUCUUUUCAAAAAAGAUAAUGAUGUGAGUAGUAUAACAAUAGUGUACGAAGGAAAAAAUGAAAAUUACGAACUGGACGACGAAUUAGUCAAAGUUAUGAAAAAACAUCCUCACUUGUAUGAUGAAAAUCAUGACUUACAUCACAGCAAAAAGAAAAAAAGGAAAUCAUGGGGUGACAUUUCCAAAUUAUUGAAACUUGAUGUCGCGACCGCUCAAUGUAGAUGGCAAGAACUUCUUGAUAAUUUUGUACAGGAAUAUACAGAUUUUCCUCCUCUUGGAAAACCCUUACAAAAAAAGAAGGCUCACGAGCUCACACUUUUUGAUAAAAUGUUGUGGUUGGUUCCAUACCUUCCUAAAUGUCUCGAGGCAUCAACUGCUGCUACUGAAGUCCAAUUCGAAGAAAUGAAUAAUUUUGCAAAUAACGUUAGUACUGAAGAGAAAGAAGUAAACAAUGUUGAAAAUCCAUCACCACUAGUGAGUGA